rnacentral:rRNA from 1 species
CUACGGGGCGCUCCAGUCGAGAAUCUUCCGCAAUGGGCGCAAGCCUGACGGAGCAAUGCCGCGUGAGGGAUGACGGCCCUAGGGUUGUAAACCUCUGUCAGAAGGGACGAAGAACGUGACGGUACCUUCAGAGGAAGCCAUGGCUAACUACGUGCCAGCAGCCGCGGUAAUACGUAGAUGGCGAGCGUUAUUCGGAUUUACUGGGCGUAAAGGGUCCGUAGGGGGUCUGCCAAGUCUGAUGUGAAAUCCUGCGGCUCAACCGCGGAACUGCAUUGGAAACUGGCGGACUAGAGUGUGCGAGGGGUGAGCGGAAUUCCUGGUGUAGCGGUGGAAUGCGUGGAUAUCAGGAAGAACACCGAUGGCGAAGGCGGCUCACUGGCGCAUCACUGACCCUGAGGGACGAAAGCGUGGGUAGCAAACAGGAUUAGAUACCCUAGUAGUC